GUUUUAUGUAUUUAUAUUACAUACCUUUAGAUUUUAUUUUUUAUUAUAUAAUUUUAUAGUUUAUUUUUUAUAUUUUAUAAUUAUAUAAUUUAAAUUUCAUUUUGGAGUUUUUUUGGGGGGGGGAUUAUCAUUAUAUUUAUUGCAAGCAUUUACUAAAUCAAUCUAAAACAAGAAUAAAUAUGGCACCACUGGCCUCCAUCAGAGGUUUUUUCCCCUCGGGUGUGUGGAAUUUUUACAUUUUUUUGGUUUUUUAACAUAUUUUGGUAUCUGUAUUGCAAUGUAAUCUUUGUCUUGUAAUCAUUAAGGUUCACUAGAUUGCCUGGUCUAAAUGAAGGACUUGCUCAUUGUGGAAAGUAAAACAUAGUUGAUAUCAUAGAAAGUGCUGAGAUUUGGUGUCAAAGAUUCUGAGUUCAAAUUUUGUUUCUGCCAUUUACUACCUAUGUGACCUUGGAAAAAUCUCUCCUUAUUUCUCACUCUCAGUUUUUUUUUUCCCUCUGUAAAAUGAAGAGGUUGUAUAAGGAAAUCUCAAAAGUCCUUCAGGAUGUAGAAUCUAUACUUCUGCAUGGAAAAGGUCUACUACAACUUGCUGAGUGACCUUGAGCAAGUCAUUUCUCCUCUCCAGGCCUCAGUUUCCUCAUC
rnacentral:lncRNA from 1 species